rnacentral:SRP_RNA from 1 species
CUGCGCUAGACGGGGAGGUAGCGGCGCCCUGUGACCCGCAAUCCGCUAUAGCGGGGUUGAAUUCCCGCCUGAGGCUGGGAUAUGUGGGGCCUGUUCCAUAUGAGAUGCGUUGACGGCCGGAUCUUGCGCAAUAGGGGCCUGUGAACCCCGUCAGGUUCGGAAGAAAGCAGCGGUAAGCGGCAACCUCUAUGUGCCGCGAGGCUGUCUGGCCCGAGCGGAUCAUAUGGGGAACGCCCGUGUAUUUCCGUCGAGGGCGGGUGCGCGG